rnacentral:lncRNA from 1 species
UUGGUCGCCCCCCCCCCCUUGCCCAUCUCCUCCUCUCUCAAUUCUUGCAGCCACCAAACCCUAGCCGCCCCCCCUCUCAAUCCCCUCCUCCCAAGGUGCCAAUCCUUGCCGCUCGGAUCAUCGUCGUCGUGGUGCGAGUCUUCGAUCGUUUUGGUGGAGGGAAGAAGGGAGGAAGGAAAGGGGGAGAAUCCAAGGUGAUUUUUAUGUUCAUCCCUUGUUCAUUUGCGCUGCAAUUUAAUUGAUUAGAGGUUGCGUUUGCGAUUGGGGUAGAGGGGGGCUGUCCAGAAUUUUAGGUGGUGGGUGAACAGCAGUAGUCUAGCAGUUUCUGUGUUUUUUUCAUGAGGAAUUAAGGGAAAUCAGUUUAGGGAUCAUGUAGAACUUUACCUUACCUUUUCAACGAGUAUUUAUGCGCUCAAUUUGGAGUUAUAAAUUGAAAGUUAUCACUGUUUGAAUCCGGGUAUGUGGCUGUCCAAAAAACAGAUUUUUCAGGGGGAUGAACAGCAGCAGUAUUAGCAGUUUCUGGGAACUUUUCGUGGGUAAUUAGUGUUAAUCAGUAUGAGAAUCAUGUAGGGCUUUAUGUUAUCUUUCCAACAAGUACUUAUGCGCUCGAUUCAGAGUUAUAAUUCAGGAGAUAUCGUUGUUUGAAUCCGGUUAUGUUGCUGUCCAAAAAAACAGAUUUUUCAGGUGGGUGAACAGCAGUGGUAUUAGCAGUUUCUGGGAACUUUUCGUGGGUAAUUAGUGUUAACCAGUAUGGUAAUCAUGUAGGGAUUUGUCUUAUCUUUCCAAUGAGUACUUAUGCGCUUGAUUUGGAAUUAUAUUUUAAAAGAUAUCGCUGUUUGAAUCUGGGUAUGUCGCUGUCCAAAAGACAAAGAAAAACAGAUUUUUCAGGGGGAUGAACAGCAGCAGUAUUAGCAGUUUCUGUGAAAUUUUCGUGGGUAUUUAGUGUUAAUCAGUAUGAGAAUCAUGUAGGGCUUUAUGUUAUCUUUCCAACAAGUACUUAUGCGCUCGAUUCGGAGUAAUAAUUCAGGAGAUAUCGUUGUUUGAAUCCGGUUAUGUUGCUGUCCAAAAAAACAGAUUUUUCAGGUGGGUGAACAGCAGUGGUAUUAGCAGUUUUUAGGAACUUUUCGUGGGUAAUUAGUGUUAACCAGUAUGGUAAUCAUGUAGGGAUUUGUCUUAUCUUUCCAAUGAGUACUUAUGCGCUUGAUUUGGAAUUAUAUUUUAAAAGAUAUCGCUGUUUGAAUCUGGGUAUGUCGCUGUCCAAAAGACAAAGAAAAACAGAUUACAGGGUUCAUCUUGUGGACUGUUUUGGGCUAAUUAGAUAUUGGAAUUUAAUUAUUAAUUGUAUACAAAACUUGUGGGGAAUUUUAUGUAGAUGCCUCUGGAGUUUUUGUUUGUUACCACUGCUGUCAUAAUUUUAAAGUUAUGAAAUUAUUAAGCAGCGCCGCUGCAGUUUGGUGGGUGUAGGGAGAGAUGUAACCCGCGACGGGGUUUGAGUUUGUGCGUAGGUGCAGCGUCGCUUAUGAGCCUGAUUAUGUGAAAUUGGUGUACUAAGUUGGGUGUCAAAAACAGGUGGUGGACUUCCGGAUCGUACUUAGGGAUUUGCCCGAACUUCCGGUAAAGGCAAGUAAAUACAGUGGUGGUUGCUACCGUUUGGUUUGCAUCCUAUUCCCUGUCAUUGAGUAUGCAUAAGUUUUAAUUAUGUUAAUCAUUGAAUUCUAUGAUGAAGUUUAUUUGUUUGGAAGUAUUAAUUCUCAAUUGUGUAAUAUUGUGGAUGAUCAUAAUUUGGUAAUGAUAUAUGUGGUUGAUUCCCAUCUGGAUGAAGUUGAAGUGUCUUUUUGAAUCAUGUUAUAUGAAGUGUUGUAGGCAUGACAUGCACAUCGCAUCAUCCAUCUUGCAUUUUGAAGUUAUGUCGUGAUCUUAUGGUCCGACCGUACCGGUACAUUUUUAGCAUCGUACGUUGCCCGAGGAGGGGUACGAUGCGGCUUCAUAUCCUUAGAGGUAUGAAGGCAGAAGUCAUCCUUGCAUUUGCAGACAUUUGCACUCAUGAGGAAUAUAUGAAUUGUGACAUUACUAUGUUACUAUUGUGGUUUCUACCUGCGAGGUGUGGUAACUAGGUGCGUUGUACGUUGUAGACAUGUUGCACCUUCGUAAUAAGAAGGUUGUGGAAUUAAGUGGUGGUAAAACAAUGUUCUUAUGUGGUUAAACUGUUUGAUAUUAUUUUACUUGCUGAGAUGUGUCAUCUCACUCUUGCAUUACUCAAUGCAGGUACUUGAUACAUGUUGGGAAUGAGGGGAGUAGCAGCACACCCACUUUCACUCUCACAAUAACGCUGCCCAGGCGCAGCCAUGAUUUAAUUAGAAACUUAUUGUCAAAGGAAGUUUGUUUAUUUUUUUAUAUGGUCGUGCGCACUGGUUAAUUCGGUUCAGGUCGUAUGUUUAUCAUUCCUUGCUAGCCGAGUAAUAAUACUUAGUAUGUUUUAGUCAUGAUAUAUGUUUAUACUCUGUUGCUCCCUCUUUUAUGCAAUCUUGCAAAGGGGAUGCUGCCGAAAUUUUAUAUAUGGACGUCGGAAGUGUAGUACAGUAGCAUACCGGGUUGUUUGUGGAACCUGGAGUGUUACAUUAGAUCAUCGUCAGACCCUUUCCUCAGACGAUCUUGAAGAG